AGUGAAAAAGAACCUGAAACCGUGUACGUACAAGCAGUGGGAGCACCCUUUUGGGUGUGACUGCGUACCUUUUGUAUAAUGGGUCAGCGACUUAUAUUCUGUAGCAAGGUUAACCGAAUAGGGGAGCCGGAGGGAAACCGAGUCUUAACCGGGCGUUAAGUUGCAGGGUAUAGACCCGAAACCCGGUGAUCUAGCCAUGGGCAGGUUGAAGGUUGGGUAACACUAACUGGAGGACCGAACCGACUAAUGUUGAAAAAUUAGCGGAUGACCUGUGGCUGGGGGUGAAAGGCCAAUCAAACCGGGAGAUAGCUGGUUCUCCCCGAAAGCUAUUUAGGUAGCGCCUCGUGAAUUCAUCUCCGGGGGUAGAGCACUGUUUCGGCUAGGGGGCCAUCCCGGCUUACCAACCCGAUGCAAACUGCGAAUACCGGAGAAUGUUAUCACGGGAGACACACGGCGGGUGCUAACGUCCGUCGUGAAGAGGGAAACAACCCAGACCGCCAGCUAAGGUCCCAAAGUCAUGGUUAAGUGGGAAACGAUGUGGGAAGGCCCAGACAGCCAGGAUGUUGGCUUAGAAGCAGCCAUCAUUUAAAGAAAGCGUAAUAGCUCACUGGUCGAGUCGGCCUGCGCG
rnacentral:rRNA from 1 species